rnacentral:rRNA from 1 species
CAGCCGCCGCGGUAAUACGAAGGGGGCUAGCGUUGCUCGGAAUGACUGGGCGUAAAGGGCGCGUAGGCGGAUUGUUUAGUUAGGCGUGAAAUUCCUGGGCUUAACCUGGGGACUGCGCUUAAUACAGGCAGUCUAGAGUGAGGAAGAGGGUUGUGGAAUUCCCAGUGUAGAGGUGAAAUUCGUAGAUAUUGGGAAGAACACCGGUGGCGAAGGCGGCAACCUGGUCCUUGACUGACGCUGAGGCGCGAAAGCGUGGGGAGCAAACAGGAUUAGAUACCCCCGUAGUCCCUGUCUCUUAUAC